UACGGGGGGAGCAAGCGUUGUUCGGAUUUACUGGGCGUAAAGGCGCGUAGGCGGCCACCGCAAGUCAGUUGUGAAAUCUCUGGGCUUAACCCAGAACGGUCAGCUGAUACUGCGGGGCUAGAGUGCAGAAGGGGCAACUGGAAUUCUCGGUGUAGCGGUGAAAUGCGUAGAUAUCGAGAGGAACACCUGCGGCGAAGGCGGGUUGCUGGGCUGACACUGACGCUGACAGCGCGAAAGCUAGGGGAGCGAACGGG
rnacentral:rRNA from 1 species